UCAGAAUAGUCGAUCCAUUAUAGAGAUCUCUCAUGAAAAUGCAAAUGCACAUGUAAUGUUGCAUGACACUGUUUCAAACAAGCAUAGAAGUUUACUGGAUGAUUCAUCCACAUUAGAGGAUGGAUCACAGGCUUACGUUACUUAUAGAAGCUGUAUAACACCGGUUAAUGAAGAGAAGUUGUCAGUAGUUGGUUUUGAGG
rnacentral:misc_RNA from 1 species